AACUCCCUGUGGCCAAAUGGUCAGGGGGAAUAAGCAACUUUACAGGAUAAACAUACUUUUGAGAAUUGAGUCAAGGAAGAGUAGAUCUCAAUGUGAGCGGGACCUCCAAGGGAGGUGGUCAUACUAACAUGGCCAAAGGGACUGUGUCUGAAGUUCUGUGUCACUGGCAGUGAAAGUUCUAAAGAUGGGUGAAAUAAGAUCAUGAAAGAACUUUAAAAAAAAAAAAAAAAAGUGGAUCUACCUGUUCUGACUCCUUUAUCCCCACCAUGUUGGCAAAAGUACAACUCUUUAUUUCUAUCAAGAGCCAUGGAUGGCUUUAGCUUUGGUUUGUUUUUAGAGAGAAGCGAGUUAAUAUUGCUGCGAAGUGAUGAUGGGCAACCUGAAGAGGCCAAAAGCAGAAUCUGUAUGUGUAUCAGUCACUCUAAAAGUUCAAAAAAUUCUAUCAGUGAAUGGGGAGAAAAAGGGCCUAAAAGACUCCUAAAAUGACCCAGUAGUUUAGUCUUUUCAAAUAAUAUUGAGCCCAUGUCACUCUUAUACAAUAAAAGUCCCCCCCCAACCAUGGUGUUUUGGUGUGCAAAGUAGACCAAGUCUAAGAAACAGUGUUAAGUGUCAGUGACUGGCUGACUGUGUGGAAGAUUCUACAGGAACUCGCUGCUGCUCUUAUAUUCUUUCAACUAGUGAUGAUUUUAGUUCACAAAAUGGCCGAAGAAUAACACUAACUUUCUAGCAAACAAGCAUCCAGAGGACAAGACUGAAGUUCCCAGGAGACUGAGAUUCAAGUCUUACUUCAACCCAAUAAAACAUGAGUGUGGUGCUAAGAAGUCGGCUGGGACAGUCACUCUGGCAGAUCUGGGAGCCUCAGGAAUUCUACCCCACUUCCUUGAAGACAGCCAGGCCAAAGGUUGUGUCCAUGGUGACCAGCAAGCUCUUAGGGAGAUCUGGAUUUGUGGCCAUGCUCUCAAGGAUGUGGCCAGAGAGAUCCCAGCUGCUGAGCAGCAACACUGAGAGGCAGACCUGCAAAGGAUGUCUUGGUUGCUGCCGCAUGAAUACCUGUGGGAGCCCACUUCUCCAUUCUGGCUCAGGUAUGGAUCGGGAAUUGCAAGCUAGUUACCAUGUGGCCAAAGGGUAA
rnacentral:lncRNA from 1 species